rnacentral:rRNA from 1 species
GGAGGAAAAGAAACUAACAAGGAUUCCCCUAGUAACGGCGAGUGAAGCGGGAAGAGCUCAAAUUUGAAAUCUGGUAGCCUUCGGUUGCCCGAGUUGUAAUCUAGAGAAGUGUUUUCCGCGUUGGCCCAUGUACAAGUCCCUUGGAACAGGGCGUCAUAGAGGGUGAGAAUCCCGUCCUUGACAUGGACCCCCAAUGCUUUGUGAUACACUUUCAACGAGUCGAGUUGUUUGGGAAUGCAGCUCAAAAUGGGUGGUGAAUUCCAUCUAAAGCUAAAUAUUGGCGAGAGACCGAUAGCGAACAAGUACCGUGAGGGAAAGAUGAAAAGCACUUUGGAAAGAGAGUUAAACAGUACGUGAAAUUGUUGAAAGGGAAACGAUUGAAGUCAGUCAUGCUCUUUGGUUUAAGCCGUUCUGCGGUGUAUAUCAUUGAGUGGGGUCAACAUCAGUUUUGACCGCUGGAAAAGGGCAGGAGGAAGGUAGCACCCCCGGGUGAACUUAUAGCCUCUUGUCGUAUACAGUGGUUGGGACUGAGGAACGCAGCAUGCCUUUUGGCCGGGAUUCGUCCACGUACAUGCUUAGGAUGUUGACAUAAUGGCU